UACACACCGCCCGUCACACCAUGGGAGUCAGUUUGCUCCAGAAACGGCUGCGCUAACCCGCAAGGGGGGCAGGUCUUUAAGGAGUGACUGGUAACUGGGGUG
rnacentral:rRNA from 1 species